UCACAUUUAACAACUUACUACUUCAGGUGCUGAACGAGCGAUCAAACCAUCCAAACAGUUUCUCCACUGGUCUUCUUGUAGCUGUUGCAGUUGGAUGUUCUGUAGUUACUGCUGUCGUUAUUAUUUUUGGUCUUUAUGUUUUCCGUAAAUUGAACCCUAAUCAAACUGCAAGGCAAAAUAGAAAGGCGGGCAACAACCAACGUCCUGGUGAAUUACCCCUAACCAGCCAACUUAACGAUUAUGAACGAAGUCGACGUUCUAGUGAUACACAGAGUGGUG